rnacentral:rRNA from 1 species
GGGUCAGUAGGUUGGUCGUGCCACCGGUACGUACUGGUCUCACUGAUUCCUCCUUCCUGAAGAACCGUAAUGCCAUUAAUUUGGUGUUGCGGGGAAACAGGACUGUUACUCUGAAAAAAUUAGAGUAUUUAAAGCAAGCUAACGCUUGAAUACAUUAGCAUGGAAUAAUGAAAUAGGACGAUCGAUCCUAUUUUGUUGGUUUCUAGGAUUGACGUA